rnacentral:sRNA from 1 species
ACACAGAAGGGAGGUGGUUCGGAGCAUGAGUGAUUACCGGACGAGUGAGGUGGCUGCGGGCUAGCGCUCGUCACCACACCUAGUGCGGUGCCGGACCCGCGCGUGAGAGCGCGCAGCCGGCCCAAUCCCAGCAGUCACCCGACCCGCAGGCCGCCGGUAACCGUCCGGCCGGCUUCCCGCCGCCUCGCGCGGCCGGAACCACGGCCUGCGGGUCGUCUGCU